GACGAACGCUGGCGGCGUGCUUAACACAUGCAAGUCGAACGAAGUGGCGAACGGGUGAGUAAUACGUGGGUAACCUGCCCUCCUUUUUGGGAUAAGCCUUGGAAACGGGGUCUAAUACCGAAUAAAGGGGGAUGGGCUCGCGGCCUAUCAGCUUGUUGGUGGGGUGAUGGUCUACCAAGGCGGUGACGGGUAGCCGGCCUGAGAGGGUGAGCGGGCACAUAGGGACGGAGAAACGGCCCACGCUCCGAAGGGAGGCAGAAGUGGGGGAUAUUGCACAAUGGGCGAAAGCCUUAUGCAGCGAGGCCGAGUGGGGGAUGAAGGCUUUCGGGUUGUAAACCUCUUUCGCUAUCGAAGGGGUAGGUGGAGAAGAAGCGCCGGCUAACUACGUGCCAGCAGCCGCGGUAAUAC
rnacentral:rRNA from 1 species